rnacentral:rRNA from 1 species
CGGGUGAGUAACACGUGACUAACCUACCCUCGAGUGGGGGAUAACUCCGGGAAACCGGGGCUAAUACCGCAUAACAUCGCGAGGUGAAAUUCCUUGUGAUCAAAGGAGCAAUUCGCUUGAAGAGGGGGUCGCGACUGAUUAGCUAGUUGGCAGGGUAACGGCCUACCAAGGCGAUGAUCAGUAGCCGGCCUGAGAGGGCGCACGGCCACACUGGAACUGAAACACGGUCCAGACUCCUACGGGAGGCAGCAGUGGGGAAUUUUGCGCAAUGGGGGAAACCCUGACGCAGCAACGCCGCGUGGAGGAUGAAGUCCUUUGGGAUGUAAACUCCUUUCGACCGGGAAGAUUAUGACGGUACCGGAGGAAGAAGCACCGGCUAACUCUGUGCCAGCAGCCGCGGUAAUACAGAGGGUGCGAGCGUUGUUCGGAAUUAUUGGGCGUAAAGGGCGCGUAGGCGGCGUGGUAAGUCUCCUGUGAAAUCUCCGGGCUCAACUCGGAGCGGUCAGGGGAAACUGCCGUGCUGGAGUGUGGGAGAGGUGCGUGGAAUUCCCGGUGUAGCGGUGAAAUGCGUAGAUAUCGGGAGGAAC